AGCUUGAUUUUCGAGCAAUUGCAACUGUUACAUGUGUUAUCUAGAGUUUAUAUGCACAUUUUCCAAUUAUUAAUUACUGCCGAUCGACGGAAGAUACAAAUAUUCUGAGUAUCGAAUAAUAGUUAGAAAACUCGAUCACCGGCACUAUCAAAUAUUUUGAUACUCUCACACUCAUGGGUACAGAAUGUACCUGCAGAUACUUCGAUAUACCGAUGUACAUAUACAUAUGUAUGUACAUAGUUGUGCACAUGUACACAAUGUAUGUUGAUGUUAGGUUAUUUGUAUGUAACUUGUUUCCUUAUUCAGCAUCCUCUCCAGACCCCCACUCCAUCUCCCCCACACUCAUUCGGAAUAUAGGGUCCCACACAGCAUAAACCCGACUUAGAGCCCAGAAAACCCUUUCCUCUGUAAACCCUUUCACCACUUGCAAUUAUUGAAAAUGUCAAGGACCAUCAGCGAGCUCAGAAU
ensembl:ncRNA lncRNA:CR45595 long non-coding RNA:CR45595